CAUCCGAAUCUUGGCCGACAAAGCAUGCGCGUUUGUCACAUACACAGCCCGUGAAGGAGCAGAGAAGGCUGCGCAAGAGCUCUCCAACAGGCUAGUCGUCAAUGGUCAGAGGCUAAAACUCAUGUGGGGAAGGCCUCAGGCUCCCAGACCUGAUCAAGAUGGUUCGAACCAACAGGGCGGUGUGGCUCAUAGUGGUUUGCUACCUCGAGCCGUUAUAUCUCAGCAACAUAAUCAACCGCCAUCGAUGCAACAGUACUACAUGCACCCACCACCACCUCGUAAAAGAUAAAUCACACGCGGGUUUUGACCUAUUAUUAGGGAUAGAUAGAACCGUCGUCCGCCGUUACCUUUCGUCGUGCUCGAGAUUGAAAUCGAGCGAAUCGCGAGAAAGGAAGAGAGAAAUGGCUCACAGGAUUCUCAGAGAUCACGACGCCGAUGGAUGGGAGCGAUCCGAUUUCCCAAUCGUCUGCGAGUCUUGCCUCGGUGACAAUCCCUACGUUCGAAUGGUGAUUCCUCUUAUUCAAUCUCUCUUGCUCGUUGAUGAGAUUCGAGUGCUUAAACCUAGUAAAAGUUAGAUUUAGAGUUUAAGAAGCUAUCAAAAUCGUUGGAGCUUUGGUUUUGAGAUCCAGAUUCGUCUAGUUACAUUUCGAAUUUUGAUUAUUGCUGAUUGAAGUGUUAUUUGUUGGUGUGUAAACCAAUGAUGAUUCCUCUCUUUCACUCUCUUGCUCGUUGAUGAGAUUUGAGUACUUAAACCUAGUAAAAGUUAGGUUUAGUGCUUAAGUAGCUAUCAGAUUCGCUCGGAGCUUUGGUUUUGAGAUCCAGAUUCGUCUAGUUACAUUUCGAAUUUUGAUUAUUGUUGUUUGUUGGUGUGUAGACCAAGGCGGAGUAUGAUAAGGAGUGCAAGAUAUGUACGCGGCCGUUCACGGUGUUUAGGUGGAGACCUGGAAGAGACGCUAGAUACAAGAAGACGGAGAUUUGUCAGACUUGCUGCAAGCUGAAGAAUGUGUGUCAAGUCUGUCUUCUUGAUCUUGAGUAUGGUCUUCCUGUUCAAGCCAGGGACACUGCGCUUAACAUUAGUACUCAUGACUCUAUCCCAAAGAGUGAUGUUAACAGAGAGUACUUCGCUGAGGAGCAUGACAGGAAGGUAUGAUGAAUAACCAACUCUCACAUUAAUUAGUAAGUUAGUUUUUUCACAUGGUGGCUUAUUUAAUUCAAGUGAUUUUUUUUUUGUCUUGUGUAGACUAGAGCUGGACUGGAUUAUGAAUCUUCAUUUGGGAAGAUGCGUCCUAAUGAUACUAUUUUGAAGCUUCAAAGAACAACACCGUACUAUAAGAGGAACAGAGCACAUGUUUGUAGUUUCUUCAUCAGGGGUGAGUGUACUAGAGGUGAGGAAUGUCCAUACCGGCAUGAGAUGCCUGAAACAGGAGAGCUUUCUCAGCAGAACAUAAAAGACCGUUAUUAUGGGUAAGCUGUUUUCUUCUGUAUGCAUGACUUUGUUGAUGUUUACUUGCCUUCUCAAAUGCUUGUUUCAGUAUCUCCCUUGAUAAAGUUUGUUAAGUUUUACAUGUAUCUGCUAUGGUACUAUUUUCUCUUUGAUCAGUUUAGACAUUCAUUCAUUCUUUGGAAGCCACUAACAUAUAUGAAUUGUGAUGUUCAAUUCUUGAGCUGAACUUAGCUCUAUGUUCGCUUAGUCUUGUUAUAGCCUUUUCUAAUUUUUUUGUUCUCUUAGAGCAUCAACAUUGAGGGUAUCUUAAUGGGUCUCUCUCAUGAAACCUUCAAGUCUUUGACGUUGAUGCUAUUAAUGUAUUAGUCUUUUGACAUAUAUGAUUUCUGAUCGUCAAUUCUUGCGAUGAACUAUGCUAUGUCGGCUCUCAUGUAGUUUCAUUUAUUCAUGUCAAACAGUCGGUUUGAACUAUUUCUAAUUUUCUUUUACAUUUUCGCAGUGUUAAUGAUCCGGUUGCGAUGAAGUUACUUGGAAAAGCUGGUGAGAUGGGCACUUUAGAAUCACCAGACGAUCAAAGCAUCAAAACGCUUUAUGUCGGUGGACUUAAUUCAAGAAUUCUCGAGCAGGACUUACGAGAUCAGUUCUACGCUUAUGGAGAGAUCGAGUCCAUCCGAAUCUUGGCCGACAAAGCAUGCGCGUUUGUCACAUACACAGCCCGUGAAGGAGCAGAGAAGGCUGCGCAAGAGCUCUCCAACAGGCUAGUCGUCAAUGGUCAGAGGCUAAAACUCAUGUGGGGAAGGCCUCAGGCUCCCAGACCUGAUCAAGAUGGUUCGAACCAACAGGGCGGUGUGGCUCAUAGUGGUUUGCUACCUCGAGCCGUUAUAUCUCAGCAACAUAAUCAACCGCCAUCGAUGCAACAGUACUACAUGCACCCACCACCACCUAACCAAGACAAGCCUUAUUACCCGUCUAUGGACCCACAGAGAAUGGGUGCAGUCAUUUCAACCCAAGAAGCUGGUGGUUCAAGCACCACUGAGAACAACGGAGGUUCGUCUUCUUCUUACAUGAUGCCUACGCACCAGCUAUACCCGC
rnacentral:lncRNA from 1 species